UUAUCAUUUAGAGGAAGGAGAAGUCGUAACAAGGUUUCCGUAGGUGAACCUGCGGAAGGAUCAUUGUCGAAUCCUGCAAAGCAGAACAACCCGUGAACAUGUUAGCAAAUGUGUUGAGGGGUAAUGGUGUUGGUAGCUCCAUUUCCUCUUGACUGGUCCAUGCGGCCAAGAUAACCAACCCCGGCGCGGAUUGCGCCAAGGAAUUGUGAUAAGUGAAACGUUUGCCCUAUGCAAUCUAACAAAAAAAGAUUGUAUGGGGUCGUGCGUGAUAUGUAUGAUAUAAAGAACGACUCUCGGCAACGGAUAUCUCGGCUCUCGCAUCGAUGAAGAACGUAACGAAAUGGGAUACUUGGUGUGAAUUGCAGAAUCCCGUGAACCAUCGAGUCUUUGAACGCAAGUUGCGCCCCAAGCCUUCGGGUUGAGGGCACGUCUGCCUGGGUGUCACGCAUCGUAACCCCCUACCACCUAUGUUGGUGUGAGGCUGAUAAUGGCUCUCCCGUCCUCAUGGUAGUGCGGUUGGCCUAAAUACAGUAACCCUAAUGUGGUGUAUGCCAUGAUGAGCGGUGGUUUGUCUAGGCUUGCCCUCGUUAAGUCAUCGUGCGCAGCAUGCCAUUAGAUUUGGUUAUCUUUGAACUUUGAUCCUUCAUUCAGAGACUGUGCACAUCGCGACCCCAGGUCAGGCGGGAAUACCCGCUGAGUUUAAGCAUAUC
rnacentral:misc_RNA from 1 species